rnacentral:rRNA from 1 species
UGACCUCGGAUCAGGUAGGGAUACCCGCUGAACUUAAGCAUAUCAAUAAGCGGAGGAAAAGAAACCAACUGGGAUUGCCUCAGUAACUGCGAGUGAAGUGGCAAAAGCUCAAAUUUGAAAUCCGGUACCUCUGGUGCCUGAGUUGUAAUUUGGAGAGACAAAUCUUGCGGAUGGUGCCGGCCUAGGUUCCUUGGAACAGGACAACACAGAGGGUGAGAAUCCCGUGCAUGGCUGGAUUGCUGUCGCGUAAUAGACUGUCUUCGACGAGUCGAGUUGUUUGGGAAUGCAGCUCAAAAUGGGUGGUAAAUGUCAUCUAAAGCUAAAUAUUGGCGAGAGACCGAUAGCGCACAAGUAGAGUGAUCGAAAGAUGAAAAGCACUUUGAAAAGAGAGUCAAAAAGUACGUGAAAUUGCUGAAAGGGAAGCGCUUGAGACCAGACUCGAGUCGUGGUGAUCAGUCGUGCUUCUGUACGGUGCCACUUGCCACGGUUUGGGCCAGCAUCGGUUCCGGCGGUCGGAUAAAAGGUUUGGGAAUGUAGCUUCCUUUGGGGAGUGUUAUAGCCCUCAUCACAAUGCGGCCAGCUGGGAUCGAGGACCGCGCUUUAGGGCUAGGAUGCUGGCGUAAUGGUCUUAAGCGACCCGUCUUG